AAAAUUACAUGAAGGUGUUAAGAUAAGAGAUGAGCUGCAAACCACAAGUUGAACAAAAUAAAUACAAUCAUGCAAGAAAAAAAAUCCUGCACUACAACACAGUUCCUGCUCAAAGUCUUCAUCCUGUUUGUGUCAGCGAAAGAGCUGAAUGUCCCUUGAUCUUCUUAAAGCUACUGUAAAGACGUCUCGAGGACUGAUCCCCACGCUGUGUUUAGGCUACUGUUCAUCUGCGCUUAUCUCUGAGGCGAUAGGGCUAGGAGGACCCCUAAAGGGCGGAGCGAUUUGGUCUGGAAGUAUGGAAACUGAAAUCAAGAAGUAGGCUAGAGUUUUCAAUACCGUUGCCUAUUUCUUUUUUCUUAACAGAAAAAAAUACCUCGUGCGUUUUUAAAAUGGAUGGAUGUGCUACCACAGUUUUCAGGAUAUAAUAUUGCAAUCGACGUAGGCCUACAGUCACACGCAAAUCUUAAGACAAUAGAUCUUAUUUUUUUAUUUUUAUUUUUUUAGCCCAUCUUAAAAAUUUAAAGCGAAAUCGAUACUAACGUAACUGUUUUAAUGUACUGAUUGCGCUAUAGUUUUUGUUGUAAGCGUAGGCUACUUUUAAUAAUCUGCUUCGUUUUUGUUUUGAAAAAAGCGGACGAGCAAGCUCGCUCUACUAAAUCAUGAGGAGAUUAUUCAUUGGAUAUGUCGGGAUAUGUGAAUAUGGUUUAUAAAUCUUUUUUCCUCUGUCUAUGGAUUUGGUUCUCAUAUGGUGUGUUUGGUGAUACAGAUGUAAUGCAGGCAUUAUCAGUGAUGGAGGGCGAUUCUGUCACUCUAAACACUGACGUUAAUUUACAGAAAGAUGAUCAGAUACUGUGGAUGUUUAAAGUUAACAACUCAUUCACCCGUAUUGCUGAUAGACAGAAGAUCUAUAUAGGUAACAGAACGGUGACGUUCAGAAACAGACUGCAGAUGGACAGCCAGACUGGAUCUAUGACCAUCAGAAACAUCAGAACUGAACACUCUGGACUUUAUAAACUACAAAUCAUCCGAGAUGACGUUACAUCCAAGAGUUUCUCUGUUGAUGUCUAUGGUCCUCUUCCCAUUCCUAUCAUCACCAGAGACGCUUCAAACUCUUCAUCAUCAUCAUCAUCUUCUGAACGCUCAUCAGCGUCCAGAUGUGCGCUGCUGUGUUCAGCGUUGAAUGUGAGUCGUGUGAAUCUCUCCUGGUACAAAGGAAACAGUUUAUUGUCCAGCAUCAGUGUGUCUGAUCUCAGCAUCAGUCUCUCUCUACCUCUGGAGGUGGAAUAUCAGGAUAAAAACAGCUACAGCUGUGUGCUCAACAAUCCCAUCAGCAACCAGACUCAACAUCUGGACAUCACUCAGCUCUGUCCCACAUCUACAGGACCCUUUCAGCAGUCACAGACAAUGGUAUUGUUAAUUAGUUUUGCGGUGGUGCUGGUCUUGGCAAUUGUGGGGGCGAUAUACUUCAACUGCAGGAGACGCAAACCAGCAGGAUCAGAAGGCAAGUAUUACCCUUUCCAUCGAAUAAAAUGAGCAUUCUGGGACAAAAUCGAGAUCUCAAAAUAUGUUUUUGAACACCAUUGCAGACUUAUUUGAACAAUGUGAUAUUAUCAUUAAAACAGUCCAGACUUGUGAGGAAGAGGUGCUUUAUGCCGAAACAACAUUUUGUGCACGCGGUGUUCACAGUACGAAACCAGAUGAAGAGCACCACGUCAUAUACUCGAGUGUUAAUGUGAAAUGACAUGAUCAGUGGUAUAAGCCUUUUUUUUUUUUUUUUUUUUUUUUUUUUUUUGCAACUGAUAUGAAACCAGCAUGUAAAAGUCAUUUAAGUAUUCACUUCUCUAGCUUCCACAGUCAUUUCAUCUCAUAGAAUGCUAACAAACACAUGAACAUUCUAUAUUUGUAUUAAUCAUUUUUCCGGAAUACUUGACUUUGAUUGGCCAGCAGCUAUGGAGCAGUCAAAUAUUUCUGAGUAAUCUCCACUCAUGUGGGUAACUCAGUAUAACGGACCAUUUCUCCGGAAAAUGCAAUAGACAUGUUUUAAUGGAUUAUUCCUAGUGUUUACAUUAGACCUUCAGUGUUUGGUGUCAGUUUAAUCUAACAUGCUGUAUCUUGUUCUGUGGGUAGAUGUUUACCUGUUAGGCAAGGCAUGUUCAUGCAAGCUCAGCUCUGUUACUGGAAUCUUUAUUUUAAAUCCUUCAUAAACACUUAAGUUUACAUAAAAGCCUUCAAUCUUUUUUUCUGCUAUCUGCUCUUUUAAAAAUGUACUUAUUCUGCUAUUAAUUGUGUACAAAAUCUAUAUUUAUGUACAUCAUUUUCUAUAAUUUUUGGAUCAGAAAAUGUAUUAUGCAUUUAUACUUUUGUAUUGAAAUGCCUAUUUUGUAUUAUUGUAAAUGAAAGUCAGUGUACGAUUCAUAUGAACAGUUUGAAUUUGUCUACACAUUUUGAUCAAAUGUUUUGUGUUCUCUUGGUUCUUUCCUGCAGCUCCGGAAUGAUUAGUUGGGUAACAUUUAAAUCAUUUUGAUUUGCUCACAGGGGGUUCACUGGAGUCACUGGAUCUAGUCUGACUGCUUCUGCCUUUUAGAUGAAUGGGAAUUUUAAUGGUUUACUCUCUUCAGUUAUUAUAUAUAUACUUCCUUUUUUUCAAACAGAUUAGAUCCUGAAUGUUUGACACCCUUUUUAAUCAAACCCUAACCGACAACUGUUAGUUGUCAGCUGUUAGUUGUUCAGCUUGUCUGACUGGACAUGUUUGUGUUACUAAUACUGGGACAUUUCCACUGUAUUUUAAAAUUUGCUCUAUGAGCUCAUCAGAAAAGUGAAGUAAUAGUCAGGGUUUUCUGUAAUGUGUCCCCGACUGAUUUUGACAUACUGUACUCUCACAGCUAAAUCAUAAUCACAAUGUAUUUUUUUCUAAGUUUCUAGCAAUGACCAUGUGUUUGUUGUUAAACCAGUGUUGCACCACUACAAAUAAUUUUGCCAAUUACUGACAUGUUCAGUCCAACUAAAAACAGAUCAAGUUUGUCAUGUUUUAAAGAUGUCAUUGUGGACUUACACAGUAAUCAUUUGACUAGAAGAAUCUUGCCUCUGUGCUAGAGUGGUAAAACGUGGUGAAUUCAUGCAAGUGACACUAGAGGGAGCCAGAGCUUUAAGCAAUAAGCUGCAUACUGAAAGCCAUUUGGUUCAGAACAACAGCCACGAACAGAAAGAACUACAAACAUGGUGGAUGUGAGUGAGACGCUCUGAAACGGAUUGCAUAUGGAUUCGUCUUCUCUCUAUAGCUCUCGCGAUACUUUGAUGUCAUACACUUAUGGUUUCAAAACAUUAUAAUAUUUACUACAGAAAUUUUACUACAUUUUACAUGGUAAGACAAAAUACAUUUCUCGAAAUUUUUAACACUCCAGUAAAGGAUACUACAACAUGGUCAGGGCAAAACAUAUACUAUUAAAACAUGCAAAUUCCUUAAAACGAAUAAAAAACAUCUUAAGAAGUA